ensembl:lncRNA
GCCAGAGAGCAGUGAUUGGUCAGACCAUAGAUAUAUAUAGAAGCCAGCGCUAGCGUAGCUAGUCUUCCAACUGUAACUGUGGUCGGCACGUCUCAUAGCAUCUAUGGCUGCUGUUGACCGUGUUUUUGGAGUAAGACAUGAUGUUCAGAGGGAGAUGAUGCCACAUCUGGUCCAGCUGAUGGAAGGUCUUGAAGUUCUCUGACUGGCCUCGACUGAAGAUGGUCGUCUCACUGGAUUUAAGGUUCAGAUGCUCAGUAACAAACUCCACCAAUGUGCCAACAGGGAAGCUUUAGGUUUAUUAAAUGUUGCUAUGAAGGUAUCGCUGUUUUUCUUUGUGAAUGCAAUGUGCUCCAACUGAAACUUGAAUUAGAACUUAGAAGUAAAUCCUUCCAUCUGAAAGGGUUUACUUGCAUUAAAACCUCAUAACAUUCUAAUUUUUAUUCCAGUCUUAGUUGGAAAUAGAAUCUCUAUUGAUUCAGGUAAAAACUGAACUUCACAGCAUGUUGGAGCAAAACAACCAGAUGAAAACUGUGAUGGUGUUGGAUUGUCAGACCGUACUGUUGCAGCUCAAAGCAGCUUUUCUAGCUCAGUUCAUUCUGACAUUCAGCUAUGAAUCAACACAGCAGAUGGUGAUCCAUGCUGUGGAAGUCUCACAUCUCCUGAUUUAAUGGAGCUGCUUUACACUUUUUACACUGUUUAUUCACCAACACUUUAUUUAAUAAGAGUCCCGUCUAGUUUUUAUGAGGAAUGUGGUGUUUUAAUUUCUCUGUGAAUAACUGCAGUCUAAUGCAACAGCUGGAGUUGUGACAUCUGUCCUGAUAUUGAUCAUGAAGUAUUGAUCAGAAUACUUAUGGUCAGAAGUCAUCCCUGAAGUUUUACAUUAAAAUCUUUACUUGUGUUGUGAACUUUGGUAAGAAGCAGAAACUUUAGCGUUGCCAUGGAUACAUGAGUGUUAAAUUCUGUCCAUGUUUCAUUUUGGGAAAUGCAGUCCAGCAGAUGAGUUUGUUUUUACUGCCAGCUACCAUUCAGUCUGCGAUAUCAAGAAUAAAUAAAUGUGCAUAAUGUGGAAAUGAACAGAUUCGAUUUUUAUUUAUUCCUACAGCUGCUGCCCGAAAAGUUUCAGGAUGUGGAGGAAUUUAGUCCCACAAUCACAGACAAUAAAUAAUAUCUGAAAGUCAGGUUAUUGUUGUUUAUCAGCACGUUAGACAUAUUCCAGUUAAGACUCUAGAAUAUCGAGAUUUAUGUAAAUUUACCUCAAUAAUAUGAAUGUUCAGGUUAAGAUUGUGCAGUGAUAUUUAUUAUAUAAGUUUAGCUGAUUAAAGUUUAUGACUCUGCACUACAAUAUUAUUUAAAUUUACAUCAUAAUAUUUAGGGUCAGACCCUACAGUAUUGAGAUUGUCGAAUCCUAAGGCCAGUAACCUCCUAAAUCAAUCAAAUUAAUUAAUUAACUAUCAGAGAAUUACUGGACCAGCUCUCCAUCUAACGGGUCCGGUUCCCGUAGCCCAUAUGGUACAACCCAGAUGGGAUCUGAGGAACGUUUUUAAGCUGGUAAGCGAGAAAAUUCGCCUAGCUUCUAACUGCCUUCAUCCAGACGUCUAUCCUGCUUCCUCUGAUAACUAACUCAACUGAGUAGCCACUUUCGAAUGGUCAAAUUAAUUACAAGUAACGUCUGUUAACGGCAGCUUUUCUCUCAUCGGAUUCUGCACUUGGUAAGUUGCUAGGUUUAAAUUUAGAGGUUAAGGAAUGGAUAACCCCAAGGAUAAGUUUAAAAAAGGCCACCCCCGGCCCCAACGAAUAGGUAACCUGACAGAACCAGUUUUAGAUGUAAUGCACACAGUAACCUGACUUUUUACAAACUGAGAAGAUAUGUGAUUAAUUCAUCAUCAUGAUAAAAAUAAAUAGAAUUUCCAAUCUGUUAACUUUAAUUGCAGGAUAAAUGCUUUAUUAUAAAAUUUCAGCAGG